GUUCUGGUAGCUCAGGUUUUGGAAUCUCUGGCACUUCAAGUUUCUUUGGUAACGCAGGUUUUGGAAAUUCAGGCAAUUCAGGGACUUUUGGGAGCUCAGGUUUUGGAAUCUCAGGCAAUUCAGGUUUUGUUAGCGGUGGCAAUUCAACUUUAGGUAAUUCAGGCUUCGACAAUGGAGGUAAUUCAACUUUAGGCAAUUCAGGUUUCGGGAAUGGAGAUAACUCAACUUUCGGCAGUUCGGGCUUGGGUAUUUCUGGCAAUGCUACCUCCAGAAGGUGUCGAGCAUCUACUAUAUUAAUAUUGUACCACAUUGACGA
rnacentral:lncRNA from 1 species